GAAGCAGCUUGCUGCUUUGCUGACGAGUGGCGGACGGGUGAGUAAUGUCUGGGAAACUGCCUGAUGGAGGGGGAUAACUACUGGAAACGGUAGCUAAUACCGCAUAAUGUCGCAAGACCAAAGAGGGGGACCUUCGGGCCUCUUGCCAUCGGAUGUGCCCAGAUGGGAUUAGCUAGUAGGUGGGGUAACGGCUCACCUAGGCGACGAUCCCUAGCUGGUCUGAGAGGAUGACCAGCCACACUGGAACUGAGACACGGUCCAGACUCCUACGGGAGGCAGCAGUGGGGAAUAUUGCACAAUGGGCGCAAGCCUGAUGCAGCCAUGCCGCGUGUAUGAAGAAGGCCUUCGGGUUGUAAAGUACUUUCAGCGGGGAGGAAGGGAGUAAAGUUAAUACCUUUACUCAUUGACGUACCCGCAGAAGAGCUCCGCA
rnacentral:rRNA from 1 species